GAAGUUCAAAGCCUCUUUGUUAUAUUGUAAAUGAGCUUUGGGUGUGUUUAUAAAGUCCAUUUCAUGUAUUUAUAAAUAAUAAUAAUAAAAAAUUGGGCCCUUAUACUGGGUAUAAUAGUGAAUCUCCCUUAAAAAUAAAGGUCAAACUUCUCACCAAAAGCAAAAAAAGUUCACACUCAAAAAAUUAGUCUUAGUCUAAUGGGAUAUUAGUUAGAUUGACCCAAGUUUUUGGUGUGAUUCUAAGUGAUUAUGAAUUCAAGCCCUCAUUGUACUCGUGUGUGUGAGUUUCCCCUCUCAUUCUUACUAACUUUGGCAACAAAAAAAAAAGGUCUCCAAAAAAAAAACUUAGAAUAAAAGAAAUUUUAAAAAAAAGUUACACUAGAAAAAUUAAAUUUCAAUGAAAACUUUUAGUGGAAUAAUUUUUUUAAUUUUUUAUAAAAAGGUCACGUUCUGAAAAAUUAUUAUCGAUUAUCACUUUUAAUGGAAUAUCAAAGUUAAAAAAAAAAAAAAAAAAUCACAUUCGAGGUACUAUGAUUAUUUUAUUUUGAGGAAAAUAUUGUGCUCGCUUAUUUAUUUUAGCGUAGUUAAAUUACUAUUAAAAA
rnacentral:lncRNA from 1 species